GAUGAACGCUGGCGGCGUGCCUAAUACAUGCAAGUCGAGCGAACAGAUAAGGAGCUUGCUCCUUUGACGUUAGCGGCGGACGGGUGAGUAACACGUGGGUAACCUACCUAUAAGACUGGAAUAACUCCGGGAAACCGGGGCUAAUGCCGGAUAACAUUUAGAACCGCAUGGUUCUAAAGUGAAAGAUGGUUUUGCUAUCACUUAUAGAUGGACCCGCGCCGUAUUAGCUAGUUGGUAAGGUAACGGCUUACCAAGGCAACGAUACGUAGCCGACCUGAGAGGGUGAUCGGCCACACUGGAACUGAGACACGGUCCAGACUCCUACGGGAGGCAGCAGUAGGGAAUCUUCCGCAAUGGGCGAAAGCCUGACGGAGCAACGCCGCGUGAGUGAUGAAGGUCUUCGGAUCGUAAAACUCUGUUAUUAGGGAAGAACAAAUGUGUAAGUAACUGUGCACGUCCUGACGGUACCUAAUCAGAAAGCCACGGCUAACUACGUG
rnacentral:rRNA from 1 species